rnacentral:lncRNA from 1 species
UCUGCCUGCUUCUGCCUUCCAAGUGCUGGGAUUUAAGGCAUGUGCCACCACUGCCCGGCUCAUCUGAAACUCUUAGGCCCGUGGUCUUGGUAGUUGGAGGGGUGCUAGUGGGGUCUCAGAACCAGAGCAAGCAGAAUAGAUCCCACCCUCAGGAAUAUGCAGGUGGGGAAGGAAAACAGGACUCAUCUGGAGUCCAUUUGACUGUGGGAACUGGUCAUCUCUAGACCAUCUCACUGGAGAGAUGAACAGCUCUCACCGAGAACUUAGGUUUGAUUCCCUGAGCCCACACUGCGAAACUCACAACUGGCUGUAACUUCAGCUCCUAGAUGAUCCUUGGAAUUGGAUCUUUGCCCAUGUCCCUGAGAUCUAAGUUCAGGUGGGGUCUCACGGGCACGGGAGUAGUGUGUGUCCCUAAGCCAAUAUGACUGGUGUUUGUACAAGAAAGAGGGGGGGGGGAGAAAGAAGUGGAGAAGGAGGAGGAGUAGGAGAAGGUACAGACAUUGGAGGAUCACUGCUUGGGCCAAUCAAAAAUGCCAGUAUCUCUAGAAGCGAAGAAAAAUAUCAGAAAACAGGCUCUCCCUCAGAACUGUCAAAGUGUGCUUACCCCGGUGACAUCUCAUCUCAGAUGUUCAGCUGCUGCAACUGCAGAGAGUAACCUUUGGUUAUAUUAAGUCACAUAGCCACUAGUAUUUUGUUUUGGCAGCUUUAGGAAACCCAUACUUGCUCAGCUUGGUAUAUUGACUCUUGGGAGCUGGAUGGUUUCCUUAUGGGGGCUACAAAGAGUGUGUAAGAUGCGUGGUCAAAACCCUGGUCUCUACCUAGUGAAGGUCAGGAGAAUCCAUCCCCUGACAA